rnacentral:rRNA from 1 species
CCCUUAGAUGUUCUGGGCUGCACGCGCGCUACACUGAUGCGCUCAACGAGUUUUAACCUUGCCUGGAAAGGUUGGGUAAUCUUUUUAAAACGCAUCGUGAUGGGGAUAGAUUAUUGCAAUUAUUAAUCUUCAACGAGGAAUUCCUAGUAAGCGCGAGUCAUCAGCUCGUGCUGAUUACGUCCCUGCCCUUUGUACACACCGCCCGUCGCUCCUACCGAUUGAAUGGUCCGGUGAAUCUUUAGGACUGUGGCUGAGGCCUUGCCUUGUGCGGGUCUGGCCGUGGGAAUUUAGUUAAACCUUACCAUUUAGAGGAAGGUGAAGUCGUAACA